GCUACUGUAACUCAGUUGGUAGAGUAGCUGAUUCGUAAUCAGCAAGUCGGGUGUUCGAGUCACCUCAGUAGCUCCA
rnacentral:tRNA from 1 species